rnacentral:rRNA from 1 species
UGGUUUAAUUCGAUGCAACGCGAAGAACCUUACCUGGUCUUGACAUAUCUAGAAUCCUGCAGAGAUGCGGGAGUGCCUUCGGGAAUUAGAAUACAGGUGCUGCAUGGCUGUCGUCAGCUCGUGUCGUGAGAUGUUGGGUUAAGUCCCGCAACGAGCGCAACCCUUGUCCUUAGUUACCAGCGGGUUAAGCCGGGAACUCUAAGGAUACUGCCAGUGACAAACUGGAGGAAGGCGGGGACGACGUCAAGUCAUCAUGGCCCUUACGACCAGGGCUACACACGUGCUACAAUGGUAGGUACAGAGGGCAGCUACACAGCGAUGUGAUGCGAAUCUCAAAAAGCCUAUCGUAGUCCAGAUUGGAGUCUGCAACUCGACUCCAUGAAGUAGGAAUCGCUAGUAAUCGCGGAUCAGAAUGCCGCGGUGAAUACGUUCCCGGGCCUUGUACACACCGCCCGUCACACCAUGGGAGUUGAUUGCACCAGAAGGGAUAGCUUAACCUUCGGGGAGGCGNUCACCACGAAAGGUUG